rnacentral:lncRNA from 1 species
UAUAAAAAAAUCGGGAAUUUUUUUAUAUUUUUUUUUUAAUUAAAAAAUUUGAAAUUCUUUUAAUUUUUAAAUCCAAAAUAACCAAAAAAAUCAGAAUUUUUAAAAAUUAAAAUUUUCCAUUUUUAAUCCCAAAUUUUGCGGAAUUUUUUUAUUAAAAAUUUUUAAAUUUUGAUUUAAUUUUAAUUCCUAUUAAAAAUUUGAAUCUGAUUGAAUUUUUCCCGGGAAUUUUUUUCCCCUCCCCCCAAUCUAAAAAAAUCUAAAAUUAAAUGAAAAAUUUAAUUAAAAAUUCAAAAAUUUCCCGGGAAUUUUUUUUUCUACAUUUUUCCCGGGAAAAUUCGCUGCAUCUAAUGAAUAAAUUACCAUAAAUUAUGCAAAUGAGCCCCUCCCACCCCCUCCCUUUUUUUUCUAAUCCCGAAAUUUUUGGGGUUUUUUUGGUUGGAAAUUGGAGGAAAAAAUUGGGAAUUUUUAAAGGGAAAAUCCUGGAAUUGUUGGGAAAAUUUGGGAAUUUUUUCCUGGAAUUUUUUUCCUUUUUUUUGGGAUUUUUUUCCCAUUUUUUAGGGAAUUUUUCCCAUUUUUUUUUUUAAUUUUUUUCCCAUUUUUCCUGGAAUUUUCCUCUUUUUUUUCCUGGAUUUUUUUCCCUUUUUAUUCUUUUUUUUCCUGGAAUUUUUUCCCUUUUUUGGGGGAAUUUUUCCCAUUUUUUCCCCAUUUUUUUCUCAUUUUUUCCCAUUUUUUGGGGAUUUUUUUCCCAUUUUCCCUGGAAUUUUUCCCAUUUUUUGGGGAUUUUUUUUCCCCAUUUUUCCUGGAAUUUUCCUCUUUUUUUUCCUGUUUUUGUUUCCCUUUUUAUCCUUUUUUUCCUGGAAUUUUUUCCUUUUUUUUGGGAUUUUUUUCCCAUUUUUUUAGGGAAUUUUUUUUUAUUUUUGGGGGAUUUUAUUUUUUGGAUUUUUUCCCAUUUUUAGGGAGUUUUUCCCUUUUUUUUUUUUAAUUUUUUUCCCAUUUUUGGGGGGAUUUUUUCCCCAUUUUUUGGAAUUUUUUCCCAUUUUUUUCCCAUUUUUUCCCAUUUUUUUGGAAUUUUUUCCCCAUUUUUCCUGGAAUUUUCCUCUUUUUUUCCUGAAUUUUUUUUCCCUUUUUAUCCUUUUUUUCCUGGAAUUUUUUCCCAUUUUUUGGGGAAUUUUCCUCUUUUUUUCCUGAAUUUUUUUUCCCUUUUUAUCCUUUUUUUCCUGGAAUUUUUUCCCAUUUUUUGGGGAAUUUUUUCCCUUUUUUGGGGGAAUUUUUCCCAUUUUUUUCUCAUUUUUUCCCAUUUUUUUUGGAACUUUUUUCCCAUUUUUCCUGGAAUUUUCCUCUUUUUUUCUUGGAUUUUUUUCCCUUUUUCUCCUGUUUUUUCCUGGAAUUUUUUCCUUUUUUUUUUGGGAAUUUUUCCCAUGUUUUUCCCAUUUUUUUCCCAUUUUUUUCCCAUUUUUUGGGGAUUUUUUUCCCCAUUUUUCCUGGAAUUUUCCUCUUUUUUUUCCUGGAUUUUUUUUCCUUUUUAUCCUUUUUUCCCAUUUUUAUUCCAAUUUUCCCCCAAUUUUUAUCCCAUUUUAUUCCUAAUUUUUCCCCAUUUUUCCCCCAUUUUUUCCCCGUUUUCCCCCAUUUUCAUCCCAAUUUUAAUUCAAUUUUUCCCCCAUUUUUCCCCCAAUUUUUUCCCCAUUUUUCCCCCAUUUUCCCCCAUUUUUUCCCAUUUUUAUCUCAAAUUUUUCCCAAUUUUUAUUCCAAUUUUUCCCAUUUUUAUUCCAUUUUUCCCCCAAUUUUCCCCCCAUUUUUUCCCAAUUUUUUCCUAA